AAUCCUCAAAACCCUUUUCUUUGAUGGAAAAGGAUUUUGGACUUGGAGGUUUGAUGCUUGCUUUCACUUUUGAAAGUGAGCUCCUCUUAAAUAAAUUAGUGGGAUCCGCUUUGCUGAUCCUUAAUGUGAUAAGAUGUUUCUACAUUUUGGAUUUAGCACUGUCCCUUGGAUGCCUGCUUCUAACUAGUCUUAUGGACAAAUGAUGGUGCUCUGGUCACUGCCAAUCUACAUUGGUGGGAGGCUGGACCCACAGAAAAAAA
rnacentral:misc_RNA from 1 species